UACGUAGGGUGCAAGCGUUAAUCGGAAUUACUGGGCGUAAAGCGUGCGCAGGCGGUGAUGUAAGACCGAUGUGAAAUCCCCGGGCUUAACCUGGGAACUGCAUUGGUGACUGCAUUGCUGGAGUAUGGCAGAGGGGGGGUGGAAUUCCACGUGUAGCAGUGAAAUGCGUAGAGAUGUGGAGGAACACCGAUGGCGAAGGCAGCCCCCUGGGCCAAUACUGACGCUCAUGCACGAAAGCGUGGGGAGCAAACAGG
rnacentral:rRNA from 1 species